rnacentral:rRNA from 1 species
UACGAAGGGGGCUAGCGUUGCUCGGAAUCACUGGGCGUAAAGCGUGCGCAGACGGCCAUGCAAGACAGAUGUGAAAUCCCCGGGCUCAACCUGGGAACUGCAUUUGUGACUGCAUGGCUAGAGUACGGCAGAGGGGGAUGGAAUUCCGCGUGUAGCAGUGAAAUGCGUAGAUAUGCGGAGGAACACCGAUGGCGAAGGCAAUCCCCUGGGCCUGUACUGACGCUCAUGCACGAAAGCGUGGGGAGCAAACAGG